ncrna:unclassified sequences drum RNA
CGGCAUUGAAGCAAUGGACUGGUUCGGUCACAGCCUGUUGCAGAGCCAGAUUGUGGGUUAUGCGGUAACCACAAGCCGAAUAGAUUCUUCGAAUCGAAUGAAAACGCUUAAU